rnacentral:piRNA from 1 species
UCAGCUGAAAAAUGUAAACCC